rnacentral:rRNA from 1 species
GACGAACGCUGGCGGCGUGCUUAACACAUGCAAGUCGAACGGAAAGGCCCUGCUUUUGUGGGGUGCUCGAGUGGCGAACGGGUGAGUAACACGUGAGUAACCUGCCCUUGACUUUGGGAUAACUUCAGGAAACUGGGGCUAAUACCGGAUAGGAGCUCCUGCUGCAUGGUGGGGGUUGGAAAGUUUCGGCGGUUGGGGAUGGACUCGCGGCUUAUCAGCUUGUUGGUGGGGUAGUGGCUUACCAAGGCUUUGACGGGUAGCCGGCCUGAGAGGGUGACCGGCCACAUUGGGAUUGAGAUACGGCCCAGACUCCUACGGGAGGCAGAAGUGGGGAAUAUUGCACAAUGGGCGGAAGCCUGAUGCAGCACCGCCGCGUGCGGGAUGACGGCCUUCGGGUUGUAAACCGCUUUCGCCUGUGACGAAGCGUGAGUGACGGUAAUGGGUAAAGAAGCACCGGCUAACUACGUG